rnacentral:rRNA from 1 species
GAGAUUUCCGAAUGGGGAAACCCAGCAUGAGUUAUGUCAUGUUAUCGAUAUGUGAAUACAUAGCAUAUCAGAAGGCACACCCGGAGAACUGAAACAUCUUAGUACCCGGAGGAAGAGAAAGAAAAUUCGAUUCCCUUAGUAGCGGCGAGCGAAACGGGAAGAGCCCAAACCAACAAGCUUGCUUGUUGGGGUUGUAGGACACUCUAUACGGAGUUACAAAGGACGACAUUAGACGAAUCAUCUGGAAAGAUGAAUCAAAGAAGGUAAUAAUCCUGUAGUCGAAAAUGUUGUCUCUCUUGAGUGGAUCCUGAGUACGACGGAGCACGUGAAAUUCCGUCGGAAUCUGGGAGGACCAUCUCCUAAGGCUAAAUACUCUCUAGUGACCGAUAGUGAACCAGUACCGUGAGGGAAAGGUGAAAAGCACCCCGGAAGGGGAGUGAAAUAGAACCUGAAACCGUGUGCUUACAAGUAGUCAGAGCCCGUUAAUGGGUGAUGGCGUGCCUUUUGUAGAAUGAACCGGCGAGUUACGAUUUGAUGCAAGGUUAAGCAGUAAAUGUGGAGCCGUAGCGAAAGCGAGUCUGAAUAGGGCGUUUAGUAUUUGGUCGUAGACCCGAAACCAGGUGAUCUACCCUUGGUCAGGUUGAAGUUCAGGUAACACUGAAUGGAGGACCGAACCGACUUACGUUGAAAAGUGAGCGGAUGAACUGAGGGUAGCGGAGAAAUUCCAAUCGAACCUGGAGAUAGCUGGUUCUCUCCGAAAUAGCUUUAGGGCUAGCCUCAAGUGAUGAUUAUUGGAGGUAGAGCACUGUUUGGACGAGGGGCCCCUCUCGGGUUACCGAAUUCAGACAAACUCCGAAUGCCAAUUAAUUUAACUUGGGAGUCAGAACAUGGGUGAUAAGGUCCGUGUUCGAAAGGGAAACAGCCCAGACCACCAGCUAAGGUCCCAAAAUAUAUGUUAAGUGGAAAAGGAUGUGGCGUUGCCCAGACAACUAGGAUGUUGGCUUAGAAGCAGCCAUCAUUUAAAGAGUGCGUAAUAGCUCACUAGUCGAGUGACACUGCGCCGAAAAUGUACCGGGGCUAAACAUAUUACCGAAGCUGUGGAUUGUCCUUUGGACAAUGGUAGGAGAGCGUUCUAAGGGCGUUGAAGCAUGAUCGUAAGGACAUGUGGAGCGCUUAGAAGUGAGAAUGCCGGUGUGAGUAGCGAAAGACGGGUGAGAAUCCCGUCCACCGAUUGACUAAGGUUUCCAGAGGAAGGCUCGUCCGCUCUGGGUUAGUCGGGUCCUAAGCUGAGGCCGACAGGCGUAGGCGAUGGAUAACAGGUUGAUAUUCCUGUACCACCUAUAAUCGUUUUAAUCGAUGGGGGGACGCAGUAGGAUAGGCGAAGCGUGCGAUUGGAUUGCACGUCUAAGCAGUAAGGCUGAGUAUUAGGCAAAUCCGGUACUC